rnacentral:rRNA from 1 species
CCCUUAGAUGUUCUGGGCCGCACACGCGCUACACUGAAGGAGGCAGCGUGUACUCCUGGAUCGAAAGAUUUGGGUAACCCGCGAAUCUCCUUCGUGCUAGGGAUUGAGGUUUGCAAUUAUCCUUCAUGAACGAGGAAUUCCCAGUGAGUGCAAGUCAUAAGCUUGCGCUGACUACGUCCCUGCCCUUUGUACACACCGCCCGUCGCUACUACCGAUUGAAUGAUUUAGUGAGGACUUCGGACUGGGACCGAUGCGGCUUUCGGGCUGCGUCGGUAUUCUGGAAAGAUGUCCAAACUGUAUCAUUUAGAGGAAGUAAAAGUCGUAACA